rnacentral:rRNA from 1 species
CCUACGGGAGGCAGCAGUAGGGAAUCUUCCGCAAUGGGCGAAAGCCUGACGGAGCAACGCCGCGUGAGUGAUGAAGGGUUUCGGCUCGUAAAACUCUGUUAUUAGGGAAGAACAAAUGUGUAAGUAACUGUGCACGUCUUGACGGUACCUAAUCAGAAAGCCACGCUACUCGG